rnacentral:rRNA from 1 species
GUGGGGAAUAUUGGACAAUGGGGGGAACCCUGAUCCAGCCAUGCCGCGUGUGUGAAGAAGGCCUUUUGGUUGUAAAGCACUUUAAGCGAGGAGGAGGCUACCGAGAUUAAUACUCUUGGAUAGUGGACGUUACUCGCAGAAUAAGCACCGGCUAACUCUGUGCCAGCAGCCGCGGUAAUACAGAGGGUGCAAGCGUUAAUCGGAUUUACUGGGCGUAAAGCGCGCGUAGGUGGCCAUGUAAGUCAAAUGUGAAAUCCCCGAGCUUAACUUGGGAAUUGCAUUCGAUACUGGUUGGCUAGAGUAUGGGAGAGGAUGGUAGAAUUCCAGGUGUAGCGGUGAAAUGCGUAGAGAUCUGGAGGAAUACCGAUGGCGAAGGCAGCCAUCUGGCCUAAUACUGACACUGAGGUGCGAAAGCAUGGGGAGCAAACAGGAUUAGAAACCCGUGUAGUCC